UACGGAGGAUCCAAGCGUUAUCCGGAAUCAUUGGGUUUAAAGGGUCCGUAGGCGGCCCUGUAAGUCAGUGGUGAAAUCUUUCGGCUCAACCGGAAAAUUGCCAUUGAUACUGCAGGGCUUGAAUUAUCGGGAAGUAACUAGAAUAUGUAGUGUAGCGGUGAAAUGCUUAGAGAUUACAUGGAAUACCGAUUGCGAAGGCAGGUUACUACCGGUGGAUUGACGCUGAUGGACGAAAGCGUGGGGAGCGAAC
rnacentral:rRNA from 1 species